rnacentral:rRNA from 1 species
GUAGGGCGGGACACGUGGUAUCCUGUCUGAAUAUGGGGGGACCAUCCUCCAAGGCUAAAUACUCCUGACUGACCGAUAGUGAACCAGUACCGUGAGGGAAAGGCGAAAAGAACCCCGGCGAGGGGAGUGAAAAAGAACCUGAAACCGUGUACGUACAAGCAGUGGGAGCACAGGUUUACCUGUGUGACUGCGUACCUUUUGUAUAAUGGGUCAGCGACUUAUAUUCUGUAGCAAGGUUAACCGAAUAGGGGAGCCGGAGGGAAACCGAGUCUUAAUUGGGCGUUAAGUUGCAGGGUAUAGACCCGAAACCCGGUGAUCUAGCCAUGGGCAGGUUGAAGGUUGGGUAACACUAACUGGAGGACCGAACCGACUAAUGUUGAAAAAUUAGCGGAUGACCUGUGGCUGGGGGUGAAAGGCCAAUCAAACCGGGAGAUAGCUGGUUCUCCCCGAAAGCUAUUUAGGUAGCGCCUCGUGAAUUCAUCUCCGGGGGUAGAGCACUGUUUCGGCUAGGGGGCCAUCCCGGCUUACCAACCCGAUGCAAACUGCGAAUACCGGAGAAUGUUAUCACGGGAGACACACGGCGGGUGCUAACGUCCGUCGUGAAGAGGGAAACAACCCAGACCGCCAGCUAAGGUCCCAAAGUCAUGGUUAAGUGGGAAACGAUGUGGGAAGGCCCAGACAGCCAGGAUGUUGGCUUAGAAGCAGCCAUCAUUUAAAGAAAGCGUAAUAGCUCACUGGUCGAGUCGGCCUGCGCGGAAGAUGUAACGGGGCUAAACCAUG